AGCAAAAGAAACCAACAGGGAUUGCCCUAGUAACGGCGAGUGAAGCGGCAAGAGCUCAAAUUUGAAAUCUGGCCCUAGCGGUCCGAGUUGUAAUUUGCAGAGGAUGCUUUUGGUGCGGUGCCUUCCGAGUUCCCUGGAACGGGACGCCAUAGAGGGUGAGAGCCCCGUACGGUUGGACACCUAGCCUCUAUAAAGCUCCUUCGACGAGUCGAGUAGUUUGGGAAUGCUGCUCUAAAUGGGAGGUAAAUUUCUUCUAAAGCUAAAUACCGGCCAGAGACCGAUAGCGCACAAGUAGAGUGAUCGAAAGAUGAAAAGCACUUUGAAAAGAGGGUUAAAUAGCACGUGAAAUUGUUGAAAGGGAAGCGUUUGCGACCAGACCUUCUCUGGGGGGAUCAACCGCUGUUCUCAGCGGUGCACUCCCCCCGGUUUAGGCCAGCAUCGGUUCUCUCAGGGGGAUAAAGGCCUGGGGAACGUAGCUCUUUAGGGAGUGUUAUAGCCCCUGGCGCAAUACCCUUCGGGGGACCGAGGACCGCGCUCCGGCAAGGAUGCUGGCGUAAUGGUCGUCAACGAC
rnacentral:rRNA from 1 species